rnacentral:rRNA from 1 species
GACGAACGCUGGCGGCGUGCCUAAUACAUGCAAGUCGAACGAGUGGCGGACGGGUGAGUAAUGUCUGGGCAACUGCCUGAUGGAGGGGGAUAACUACUGGAAACGGUAGCUAAUACCGCAUACCAUCAGAUGUGCCCAGAUGGGAUUAGCUAGUAGGUGGGGUAAUGGCUCACCUAGGCGACGAUCCCUAGCUGGUCUGAGAGGAUGACCCGCCCCACUGGAACUGAGACAAGGUCCAGAAUCCUACGGGAGGCAGCAGUGGGGAAUAUUGCACAAUGGGGGCAAGCCUGAUGCAGGCCUGCCGGGGGGGUGAAGAAGGCCCUCGGGGUGUAAAGCACUUUCAGCGGGGAGGCGUUACCCGCAGAAGAAGCACCGGCUAACUCCGUGCCAGCAGCCGCGGUAAUUC